rnacentral:rRNA from 1 species
UACGAAGGGGGCUAGCGUUGCUCGGAAUUACUGGGCGUAAAGGGCGCGUAGGCGGAUGUUUAAGUCAGCGGUGAAAGCCCAGGGCUCAACCUUGGAACUGCCAUUGAUACUGGCGAUCUUGAGUCCGGGAGAGGUGAGUGGAACUGCGAGUGUAGAGGUGAAAUUCGUAGAUAUUCGCAAGAACACCAGUGGCGAAGGCGGCUCACUGGCCCGGUACUGACGCUGAGGUGCGAAAGCGUGGGGAGCAACAGG